AGAAUGGAUGAAGAGGACUACCCACCCCCUCCUCCUCGCUUCAGCCGAGGCGAAAAGAAACAAAAAAAACACGCACGGAAAGAACAAGAUAAGUUUCAUUCAACAAAACUUGGCGGCCCCCGGGGCCUCGGUCACUCACCUCCCGCAGUCGCCCCUUCUCCCCGUACCGCCAGCCUUCUCCGGGAAGAGGGCGGGUGGGGUGAGAAACCGGGUAAAGUUGGGGGGGGGGGGGGCGUUGCCUGCCUCUGUGGUCACGACCGGUUCGUUCCGAGUGAGUAAGAUGCCGGCCUCCGGGAUGGUCUACACCGCCAUGUUAACCCGAGUGCGAGCGGGAGGGAGCGGCUCUUUAUAGCAGCCGGGAGAGAGGGAGGAGCGGCCUCUCCGUGUCCUGUGGGUGGGAACGAUGAAGAUCUCUCCCUCUCAGACAGACAGUGCUCAUUGACUCAGAGAAAAGGAGAGACAGCCUUUCCCUUCCUCCUCUCCGAAACUGUGUAAACCAUCACACUGGCAUUUGUCAGGAACGAGCGGCGGAAGCAUAAAGUCAGUGCGAGAAUAAUACACACACACACCUGCUCUAACCACAUUCAGCGCCAACUGGGAAUAUCCCCAGCUCCAACAUUAUUUCACCGUUAAAGGCAGUGUAGAAAUAUUGCACGUUGUUGUGCUAGCUGUUGCAUCCUAGCCACUGACCUUAUUUGCAAACAUCGACUCCAGUCAUUCCAUUGACGCCAGGAUCAAAAAUAUAUCAAACGGCAGCCGCCAUUCCAGCUACAUGGGCUCUACAUUCUUAAAGCAAAAGAAUAAAUAUGCUAUAAAUAAUCAUGCUACAAAUGAUCACUAAUCGUGGCUCCAGACGUAUGGUACUACUACGCUCAUGCCAUAGCAGAACGAUCAUCUCACAAAUGAAUGAACGAGGAGAAGCUGCAAUGGGAAUAAACUGGAGAGAAAAAGACAUGCCAGAGCAUUGUUGCCUGAUGGAGAAGAAGGCAUUGACUAUUAUGGGAGGCAGUCGACAUUGACACUGCUGAAUCUACUGAAGAUGUCAAUAUCUUUAUUCCUGACCCACUGAACAACUUCAUCCCCAUCUUACUUCUCAUAUUGACUGCACCUGAUGAAGAAGCAGCAGUUAUCCUACACAAACGUGGAAAGAUACCAUCACACAGAAGACAUUCAGGAGAAACAAGUGUGUCAGGUGGUCAGAUGAAAGAGACAUUGAAGAUUGAGCUGGAAGAAGAGGUAGACUCUUCUGCAAGCAAAUUUUAUAUGAUUUGAUUAGCUAACAUCAUUGAAACCAAUUAGAAACUGUGUUCUCAUACUUAGAGGAAGGACAAUGGGAAGAUCUUGUAGUUUAUCUACCAUUGACCUAUUUUCAUUUUCUGCAAGUCUUAUGCAAUCUACUAACAUUUGACCGUAUGGUUCUUCAGGUUUGAUCGUAUGUUGAGGUAUUCUGACUACAUGUAUUACAAUAUGUUUUACAAAACUACACAACAUCUUCAUGAAGUCUUAGCCAUGUAAAAUAUCUGUUCAUCCAAUGCCUUAAAUUUUCCAUUUCAUAAGGGUCCUGUUAUAAGGCAUUUCUUGUGCUAGUUGCAAUAUCUCCUUCCAAUAUCUGGGCAUACCAUUAUUUGAUGAACAACUGUCUAUUCUUCAUCUAUAGGUUGUGAGAAUGUCUCUACUUCCUUAUCAAAACUCAUUUUUUAUAUUAUAAAUCCAGAACUCGUUCAGCUUAGCUGCAAUGUGAACUGUCUGUGCUUCCUGAGCCUCAAUUAAUAAAAACACAUCAAACAUAUCUUUUGAAUUAUCCUCAUUAUCAAAGAGAGCUUUGACUGCCCUACCAUUACUGCGACCUGUAACGAUAGUGUUUGUUUAGCCAUUGCUGUUGGUCACCACAUGAGAAAAAAAACAGCUGGAAUCUUCUCACAAGUGUUCCAUCUCUUGAGCCUCAUUGAAACUUCCCAUGAUACAAUGACAAAGUUAUAACUUCAUUCCAGUCAAGUUAUUCCCAAGAAAUAAAUCCACUCCAUCCACAGAUAGUUUCUUAACUACCCUGAGUAUUAUUAGUCCAGAUAAAUCACAUUCUAAUCAGACUUUGUACAAGGGGACUGAGAUAUACUCCCCACUCCAAGCACAUAACCUCACAUUUUCCCACAUUAUACUCCAUUAGCCAAGUUUUUACCCAUUCAAUUAACCUGUUUAUAUCCCUCUGCAGACUCUGUUUCAUCUUCAGCACAUGCAUUGCCACUUGUUAUUGGGCCAUCCACAAAUUUGGCUCAAGUACAUUCACUUUCCUCAUCCAAGUCAAAUAGCCAUGACUGCAACACUGAUCCUUUCGGUAAUGUACCAGUUACAGGUAUCCGGGAAAUGCCCCCUUUACCUGAACUCUGUCUUGUAUUAGUAAGCCACUACUCUAUCCAAGAUAACGCACUACCAACAGCAUAGGUUCUUACAUUAUGAAGUAACCUAAAUAUGUAGUACAUUAUCAAAUCCUUCUGGAAUUCAAAUGUAACAAAUCUGCUGGAUUCCCUUUGCCAGGGUUGGUUGACUUGCCAAGCUGGUUCGUUGUUCUGCUUCAUCAGAGGCUGCACUGAUGGUGUUGCCCAGCAGGGUAAUGAAACAUCUGUGGAACAACAACAAACCAGGUUGGCAGGCCAACCAACCUCAACAUCCACAACCCAAGCUACAAAUCUACUCCAAAACCUUAGGGAUCCCCUUUAUUUAACCUACUUGUAACCUCUUCAAAGAAUGCUACCAAAAUAUAUCAUUUCAGAACUACAUUGGCUAGGAAAUUCCCAGCACACAGGAUGUGAGGAUGUGUGCAACCUAGGUAUGAAGUAGAGAAUAAAUAACCUCAAGUAUCCUCGCUAAUUGCCCAACACUGUUGAGAUACACAACCUAUAUUUGGUCUAUGUUUAUCCUUUGUGCUUUUCAUUCAAAUAUCACUAUUUAGAACACACCUAUAUUCGCAGUGUGGGUUUCUAAAAUUUGAGACAGUUUUGCUGGGAACGGUAAAGAUGAGAAUUUACCCCAUGUUUUUGAAGCAUAAUGUUAUCAUCCAAGUAAUUUACAGCCCCUGAUACAUUCUGUGAUCUGAAGGUAACAGAGAAUGGGUUGAGGAAAGUGUUAAUCUUAAUUCUGUUUCUGCAUAGCAAAUUUCCAGAGACGGAUUACUGCUCUAAAAGACAUUUGUUGACAGUGGUUUACUUCUUCACUGCCUGAUGUUCGGUGCUGCUCUCUGCCAACUUUUAUUGGGUACUUUGCUAAGCAUCUGAUUGGAGUUUAAAAUGAGAUGUUGCAUAAUCCCACAGCUAUCUUUAUUUAAUUCUGCAGUUCUUUCUAAAAUAACCCAAAAUGUAAAAAUAAUCUAGCUUCUAAUUGCAUUUAAUUAGUAAGCUAGAAUCAUGGAAAACUGAUGUUUUUGUUUGUUUCGCCUUGGACUGGUCAGUCAACUUUGUGGACAUGACUAACAUAAUGAGGGUCCAAAUACGACAGUAUUUUGCAAUCUUUGUGAUGCCCCAAAAGGCUGACUACAACUCCCAAUACAUCAGAGUUCAACAACAACAGUUUGGUAAUCCAAUGGAAUUAUAGUGUAUUUACAGCUCCGUGUUAUUUUGAGUAGUACUUCAGAAUUAAAUGAAAUAAAUUGUGCAUCACUGUUUCUAAUAACCUAUUGUUUUGGCCCAAGGCAUGGCCUGUAUUUUUGUGGUAGGGCAACAAUGUCAUUGAGACUUUUUUCUAUUUUUGUUUUAAUUCCUGUGACGCCAACUAUCUUGCUUCCUUUGGCCUGGCUGGGAAAUCUGACUUCCAGAGGCAUUUAUUCAUUAAGGGAGUCAAAGCUUAUUAACAAGUAAGAAGGGCAGUGUUGUAUUAGCAAUUUACUUCAGUUUUGAUGAUGUUCCUCAUUACCGUUUCCAAAGUUCCUCUUCUGUCGGAGUCUGGGUGUAACAUAACAUUCCUCAAUAGAUUUUCUUUAAAACCUUAUAAGGCAUCUUGGAAAUGGUCAGUUUCCAGUGACAUUUGCUGACUGUUGAGGAAAUUUCUCAUUUGAUGGUUACAACAUUGCAGCCAGUUUUACCAUAUCCCUCAAAUAAUAUAUCUCUUGCCUUUCUUUCAACUGAAUUUUGUUCUCACAUCCAAUCCCCAUUCAAUGUGGUUUCUUCCUCUCCCAUUCUAACAAAUUGAUCUUCAAACAAGAUACUUUUUUCCUUUGGAUUUUCUAAAAACAAUAGCUACAUAGGAAAGUUGAUGCCCUGUCUAACUCACUAAGAACGUACAGCAUUUGAUUUGACAUUGAACUAGUCACACCAAAAAAUGUCCUGGUGUUCACUGAUAAAACAGCCUUAUUCACAUGAAAAUGAGAUUUAACUUGCCUGCUAGCAAGUGACAAGUGGCUGCCAGUCUUGGAAAGGUUGGCUACUGGGUGGCAUGAAAGUGAAGGUGGGAAGGGUGUCUUUUGAUCACAUGGAGGGAAGUCAGAUGGGGAGGAAAACAGCCUAGGGCAAAAAAGGCAAAAAGCUUUCCUGUGGACCCCAGAGAAGUGAAAAACUUACCUGGAGGCCUUUUCAGCUAAUUGAUCCAUCAAACAGGUUUCCCCUCUUAGGCUAAAUUUAAAAUUGCUGCAGAGGCUGAAUGACAUUGGGCCUUGAGUUACAACUAUGAGCUAGCACUGCACUGACUUUGGAUGCAUCAAGAUCACCCAGCUACCCCGGCACUCCUGACCAAAGGAAGUUCCUAGCAGCAUCAGACAGUACACACUUUCUGAUUCACAGAAGUAAGUAUAACCACUCUCUGCAUUUGACUGUAA